rnacentral:lncRNA from 10 species
ACAUUUCUCCUUUGGGGCAUUCUCCGACUCUCCACCAACCCACCUCUUCACCACCACGAGGUCAACCAGAUGCCCAGAGGAGCUUUGAGACUCUCCCCUAUGAGAUGGUUCCUGGGUUCUGGAGGGUGGCCUGGUAAGCACCUCUUCCUACUAGUGGACUCAUCUCAGAAGAUUUCAAAAACAAAAGUCUCAAGUGACGUGGAUAUUUCCACCUGGUUGUAGUGGGAUAGGCUGGAUUGAUGAUUUUUCACACUAAGCUCUGAGUGUUCCAAUGAGUUCCUUGGAAGUCUCUCAGGAUCAACAGGGCUCUGCUAAAGAAAGAUGCAAACUUUUGAUAAUCUACCCUUGAAGAAAAGCUCCUUGGAAUUUGGACCUACAGUUUGAAAAUUUGGCAUGCUACACCAACACUACAGUGACAAGGGAAAAAAUUGUUUGUGACAGAGAAAAAUUACCUGCAAUUUACAAUACCCAGCUGCCUCCAAAGGAGGUUCUUUGCUGAACAGAGUGAUGGGUAUGAGGAUGCAGGGUUAAGAGAGUUCACCAAAUUGUUCUGCAUUAGAAAAAUCCUGUUUAUUCAUUUAUUGUAGGAGGUAGGCAGGGGUGAGUCAGGGUGAAUGGAAAAUGAAUGAGAUCCAGAAGAACCAGGGAAAAUGUGGAGCCUAUGUGUGGCAAGAUUGAAGGGUGGGAAAGUGGCUAAGGGGAACUUUCUGAGGAGACCCCAGAUGUUAAACAGGAAUUUUUAUUAAAAUUUGCUAUGUGGUGCUCCAUAUAAUCCUUUCAUGCCUUUCUCCAUAAAACCUACAAUAAUAUCUAUAUUUCUUAUCACUAUGUUGAAGGAAAUUGAGUUUGUUCUUGUUGAGAAGUACAAGAACAAAUUGAAGUGUUAAGUCCCACUUCAAGGUGUUUGUGACCCCAGGACAGGGCUGCCUAUGAGGCCCAGGAACAUCUGGGUCCCAUUACUUAAAAAUCAGCAACCUCUCCUCUGGCUGAAGACAUGCAUUAUUUUUAAAAAGCAGAAAGAAAGAACCAACACCUAGAAACCAUUGUCUUGGGGCCCAGGACAAUACGACUCAGCUCUGAAGGAUAAAGGUAGAGUUUUACCAGCCAAAGGUACACAAAGUCCAAAAGACUGGCCUUAACUCAGUGAUGUAGUUUGGAUAUUUGUCCCUGCCCAACUCUCAUGUUGAAUUCUAAUUCCCAGUGCUGGAGGUGGGGCCUGGUGGGAGGUAUUUGGUCAUGGGGGUGGAUUCCUCAUGGCUUGGUUCUGUCUUCAUGAUAGUGAAUGGGUUCGCAAGAUAUCUGGUCAUUUAAAAGUGUGCGGCACUCCCCUACUCUUUCUUUUGCUCUUGCUCUGGCCAUGUGACAUGCCUGCUCCCCCUUCACCUUCCACCAUGAUUGUAAGCUUCCUGUGGUCUCUCUAGAAGUCGAGUAGAUGCCAGCACCAUGCUUCCUGUACAGCCUGUAGAACUGUGAGCAAUUAAACCUCUUUUCUUUAUAAAUUGUCCACUCUCAGAUAUUUCUUUAUAGCAACGCAAGAAUGGCCUAACACACUCAGAACUUCUCUAUGUACCUCACAAAAUGGUUAUAAGGCCCUCAACUCUUAAUCUUUCUAUUGUAAACAUUGUUGAUAUUGAGAAUAUUUACCUGAUGCUGCAAAAUUUGUGUGAAAAGUCAAAGAAUAAAAGUGUUUAAUAAAUCCCA